UCAUGAUUGCUUCUAUAUGCAAACUGCAUAUAACAAAAUCUAAAAUAAACGUAAUAAAACCUACAAGGUAUCUUAUUGAAUCCCAUGUGACUAAUAUAUAAUUUUGAUAAAUAUUCUUCAUAGAUUUUAUAUGCGUACUGCUCAUAACCGAGCUUGACUUCAUUUUGAUAAUACUUAUUGUUCUCGCAUAUACACUUCGUGAGCCGCACAUAUAAGUUUUAUAUGCGAGAUACUAUAAAAUUUUGCAGAAUGCUUUUUCUCAUGAGAUUUAUAUGCAAGGUUCACAACAUUUAUGAAUGUGCGCUCGAAUGUGUGCAUAAUCGUUUGCGCGUGAAUGUCUGUGUGUCAACCACAUCAACGAGCAGCAGCAGUCGCAUGCGGUCAGUCCUCGGGUUAGUCAUUUUGGAAGCGGUUCAUUUUUUCCGAAGAAAAAACGCCCCACAAACGAUUGAGCGGAAGUUUAACCCGUGCAAAUUAAAAAAAAUUUUAUAGUGAAAUUGGCUGUGGAUUCCGCGCUCCGCGAUGGCAGCUGGUUCCGGAACGAAGGGGGUCCAGAGCCGAACGAUUUCCCGCAGGCGAUCUGAUGAUCUGGCACGUGUCCUGUCCCGUGUACCUUGAGUGCAGCUGCGUAAUCGUGCGUGCGUAGGUUGUGAUCGGCUCAAACCGGUACACAGUGCUGUAGGUGGCCGGCAAGUUGCAUCCGGAGGUCUAGAAUCCAGAAGCGAAGAGCAACGAAGAUGGCCAGAAGGAUGUUCAGGGCAUGGUGCCGGCUGCAAUUGACCCGGAUAUGGGAAUGCUCAGCAAGGACAGCCGACAUCGUUCGCACACCGAAACAUCUCGAUCGAGGUUGGAUUCUUCCCGGAAGCCCUAUCGCCGGAAGUCACCUUAUGGCCAGCCAUUUACACGAAGGAAUCUUCGUCACGAUCAUCAAUAAAAGACCGCAAGAGUAGUUCCGGGGGGUUCCCGCGGCUGACUGCGGCUAUGACGUCAAGGACCGCACAGGAUAAGGACAAGGCAAGGACAAGGUCUUUUCACAGCCACGAGCAGCUCCGCUACAUGAACAAAAGAUGUGAUUCAGCAAAUAAAUACUACAAUAAAUGUAAAGAAGUGUUUAAAAAACAUUUAAUUUAAUUAUUAUCCGAAAAAAAGCAUCAACACAUUUCAACAUGACGAGUAGUUUAUAAUAAUGAAUUGCAUAGCUAUCAAAAAUCAUGCGUGCUAAACAUACAUGCUAUAUGCGGCUGCAUAUUGACGAAUCAUUUAGUUUGUAAGCGUUGCAUAUACCGUUCAGGUGCCGUGCACAUAUAUUUUAUAUGCGUGAGCAUAUUGCAAAUUCAUAUCCAUUUAUAUGCAAUGCUCAUACAGUUCAUGUACAGAGUCAUUCUGCAAAAAUCUAUAUGUGAAAC